rnacentral:rRNA from 1 species
UGCCCAGACUCCUACGGGAGGCAGCAGUGAGGAAUAUUGGUCAAUGGCCGAGAGCCUGAACCAGCCAAGUCGCGUGAGGGAGUACUGCCCUAUGGGUUGUAAACCUCUUUUGUCGGGGAGCAAAAGCCGGACGUGUCCGGCUGUGAGAGUACCCGAAGAAAAAGCAUCGGCUAACUCCGUGCCAGCAGCCGCGGUAAUACGGAGGAUCCGAGCGUUAUCCGGAUUUAUUGGGUUUAAAGGGAGCGUAGGUGGAUUGUUAAGUCAGUUGUGAAAGUUUGCGGCUCAACCGUAAAAUUGCAGUUGAAACUGGCAGUCUUGAGUACAGUAGAGGUGGGCGGAAUUUGUGGUGUAGCGGUGAAAUGCUUAGAUAUCACGAAGAACUCCGAUUGCGAAGGCAGUUCACUGGACUGCAACUGACACUGAGGCUCGAAAGUGUGGGUAUCAAACAGGAUUAGAUACCCCGGUAA